rnacentral:rRNA from 1 species
GACAGAGGGUGCAAACGUUGUUCGGAAUUACUGGGCGUAAAGCGCGUGUAGGCGGCCAUCUAAGUCGGGCGUGAAAUCCCACGGCUCAACCGUGGAAGUGCACUCGAAACUGGAUGGCUAGAGUCCUGGAGAGGAAGGUAGAAUGCUUGGUGUAGAGGUGAAAUUCGUAGAUAUCAAGCGGAACACCGGUGGCGAAGGCGGCCUUCUGGACAGUGACGUGACGCUGAGACGCGAAAGCGUGGGGAGCAAACAGG